AGAGCGGCCGAUGUCUGAUUAGCUUGUUGGUGAGGUAAAAGCUUACCAAGGCUUCGAUCAGUAGCUGGUCUGAGAGGACGACCAGCCACACUGGGACUGAGACACGGCCCAGACUCCUACGGGAGGCAGCAGUGGGGAAUUUUGGACAAUGGGGGCAACCCUGAUCCAGCCAUGCCGCGUGAGUGAAGAAGGCCUUCGGGUUGUAAAGCUCUUUCAGCCGGAACGAAACGGUUACAGUUAAUACCUGUGACUACUGACGGUACCGGAAGAAGAAGCACCGGCUAACUACGUGCCAGCAGCCGCGGUAAUACGUAGGGUGCGAGCGUUAAUCGGAAUUACUGGGCGUAAAGCGUGCGCAGGCAGUUUUGUAAGUCAGAUGUGAAAUCCCCGGGCUUAACCUGGGAACU
rnacentral:rRNA from 1 species